rnacentral:lncRNA from 1 species
UUUCACGUAGAUCCCUGACUCAGCUUACAUUAUGAAGGCUAUUUUGGGAAUUUUAUUUAUUUAUUUUUUUUCUGUUAGCUUCUUGUUAAUCAGUUUUGUAUUUGUCAAUUUUCUAUUGGUUGAGUUUGUUAUGUAUAGAAAGGUGAUUAUUCCUUCUGUCGUGGUCAUAGGCUGUACAUAAAUAGGCUGGUUCCUUUGUAUAUAUUUUCAUUUCGAUUCUGAUGAUUACAAUGGAGAAUUCCCAAGUUCAUAUAUCAUUUUCUUUCUUCUCUAACUUUCAUAUUUAAAUUCUUAUAAAACAUGCUCUAGAGUCUUUAAUGUAAUUGUAUAGUUGAGGUAUAUAUCUUGCAAAGUAAUCCAUUUAACAAACAGAUAGCCCAGUUUGGUUUGACUGGUUUUUGAAGUUUGAUUCUCUAGUCUUCUAUUGCUUGAAGUUGUCGGUCGAUGUUUAUUUCGAUCAUGACUUGUACUCUCCUAAACUAUAGGUCCGUAGACGUUAUUCCCCUGUCAGUACCAUUGGCUGAGUUUUGAAUUAACUGUUGUGAGACUUUCUCUGCUGGUACACAUGCAUUGAGAUGAGGAACAUCAUAGAUUGUGGUUUCUAAGUGUAUAAACUCCAAUUUAAAUUUUGAAAGAGAAAAAGGUCCGUUAGAUUUUUAGAAUAGGUUAGCUCUCCGUUCCAAUCCCCCUACACCAAUGAAAAAGUUUGAAAAACCAAAAGGACCAAGAGGUUUUAUGAAAGCACCCUUAGACUAGUAUGGAUCCAGAAAUAUGCUAUUCUGGAAUUUGAAAAUUUAGAAUAGCAUUCGUUCAAUGUCUGUGUCAGGUAGAGAACUUAUUCUCCAUUUUUGGUCUUGAAUUCUCUUACCAGACAACUUCAUUCUCCAUUUAUCCCCCCUUUUUGGUUAAAAAACUGAAUCCUAAACCAAAUUAUAACAAAAUUAGAUGGGAGCUUGGCGACUUUAGCUGUAUUUUGUCAUCCAUCAAAAGAUAGAUCUUGAUAACACGUAUCCUCUCUUUUUUUAAGCUAUGUUAUCCUUUGUGUGUGACUUGAUGGUGGUCGUCUAUGGCUUUACGUGCUACCUGUUAUCUACCAUUUGAUCCCAAAUGCUUGAUAAGUAUGGCCAAUAUUGCUGAUGACGGGGUAAAGGAGUUAUAACUGUACCGUACCAUUUGAUCCCCAGUGCUUGAUAAGUAAGUCAAAUAUCAUUGAUGGCAGAAUCUUUAAUAUGUUAAGAUUCAUAAAUCAGUUCGUUUAUUCUGGAUGACAUUUGUUUCCAUAUUUCUCUUUUUAAUCCAACUCCGUUGAUAUUUACAUCUUUGUUUUUUUCCUUAUUCAAGAUUUCUUUAUGACUUUCAAAUCCUAUUGAUUUGUUCUAAACAGCUGUAUAUCAUUUUUGAAAGUACUACUCUUUCUGAUAUAGACGCUGAUUCAAUACACUAAGAAUUUUUACUAUUGGCAAUAAGCAUAUUAUUAUUUCAGAAAAUAUUUUGUAUACAUAGACUUGUGAUUUGUAUUCACAGAGCAUGUUAUAAUACGGAAAUUACAUUUGGGAAACUCGUGUUGUGAAUGCUGCCUAAUAAAUCUCCCAAGAGGUACCUAGAAAUUACAAGUCUUCAGCAUAAAUCUAAUAGCUGAUUUCCUAUGCUUUGUGAUGGCAUCAUCUAUCUUUAGCUUUUUCCGGGGAAUUUAUGAGCAUAGACCGUGGAAUCGCUAUAUUGUGUCUGUGACACGAUGCUAUUUUUAUUACUCUAUUGAUGUUUUAAGCCUGUAGCAUUAGGCUAUCGGUUGCCUGUGCUUUUUAUCAAUUUGUGGUGUUGGGUGUGUGAUGUAGAUCUACAAGGCUCAGAGGAACGUUGUUCUAUGCAUUGCUGCGUGCCUCCUUUAUUGGUAAGUGACCAGCACGUCCAACUACCUUAUCUUCAUAUACAAGUAUCGAGCUUUGUUUUUCACUAAUUUUAUGUGCUAUCUCCUUUUAAUGUUCAUGCAGGUGCAUCUACCGUAUUUCCAAAUUAUACAGGGAGAUUCAAAUAAAGGAGGAAUCCGAGAAGCGUUUAAAGGACGAGUAGAUUCUCUUAUGGCCUCAUCUUCUGCCAAAACCUGUGGAGCGGACUGACAAGGCUAGCUGUAGCUUAAUGGAAGAGGAAGAGCAAAGUUUUCUCUAAUGAUAGAUAUGUUUAAUUUUCGUGUAUCUACAACUGCUGUCUUCUAUAUGAAUGUUUAUUAGCAUCUCGUUUUACUCUUAUAUGAUUUAUGAAGCGAUGCGACUUGAAUAAGAAUGAAGAAAUUAGAACCCCUACCAUCUAUUAAGUCCUCGCAAUUUUUAGUAGUGUCAAGCUGUAUAAAAUAGCAUCAUAUAACAGUAAUUAGUCCUGUCAAAUAGAAAACAUGUUAAGGUUAUGUUACUUUAACAGAGAGUGGUUGACAGAUGGAGU